rnacentral:rRNA from 1 species
AACGAACGCUGGCGGAAUGCUUUACACAUGCAAGUCGAACGGCAGCACGGACUUCGGUCUGGUGGCGAGUGGCGAACGGGUGAGUAAUGUAUCGGAACGUGCCCAGUCGUGGGGGAUAACGUAGUGAAAAUUACGCUAAUACCGCAUACGAUCUAUGGAUGAAAGCGGGGGAUCGCAAGACCUCGCGCGAUUGGAGCGGCCGAUAUCAGAUUAGGUAGUUGGUGGGGUAGAGGCCCACCAAGCCAACGAUCUGUAGCUGGUCUGAGAGGACGACCAGCCACACUGGAACUGAGACACGGUCCAGACUCCUACGGGAGGCAGCAGUGGGGAAUUUUGGACAAUGGGCGAAAGCCUGAUCCAGCCAUUCCGCGUGCAGGAUGAAGGCCCUCGGGUUGUAAACUGCUUUUGUACAGAACGAAAAGGUUUCUACUAAUACUAGGAGCUCAUGACGGUACUGUAAGAAUAAGCACCGGCUAACUACGUGCCAGCCGCCGCGGUAA